UUGGCAGAACUGCAUUACUGGUGAAUAUGUUCUCCUAAAUCGAAUAUAAGUGAAGUGGUGUCGCGAGUGUUCGACAUUCAAAUAAUUUUAAAUUUCGAUCAUUUAUUAUAACGGAACGUGAAAGGGCUUCAAAUAAAAGAAUGUCGGGUGAUGUACAACCAAGAAAACGAAAGGAUAGGAGACGCAAAAAAGAAGAAGAAGAGUCUGGUACACCUCCACCAACGUUGACAAGUCCAACCGAAAGUGUAGCAGAUAAUGUUUCUUUACACAUUUACAAGGAAAGUAGUACGGGUGGUCAUUGGUGUGCACGAAUUAUAUUUUUCAUAUUAUUGGCCGUACUCGUCGCUUUAACUGGCAUAAUUAUUUUUGAGCAUAGGGGAGCUACGGAUGUGGAUACGCCAAUAACAGAAUCACGAUGGGCUAAUAUAUUUGAUGGAUGGGUAGAUGAUACUCUUCCAAGUCAUGGAGAUGAAUCUUAUGAUGAAAAAGAAGUAAAAGGUAGUCACGAAGAAGAAGAGGAAGAAGGGAAGGAAGGAGAAGAAGAGGAAGAGGAAGAAGAUGAUGAUGAUGAUGAUGGUGGUGUUAAAGGAACGACGACUUCAAAGGAAGAAGCAGACGAAGAUGAGGGUAUAGAUCCUGGAGAAUCUGAUAUAGAAGAUGACGACGAUUUAAAUCGGCAAAACUUAGAUGACAUCGAUGUGUUAGAAGAAGUGGACAAUAAAAGUGAUGAAGACGAUGAUGAGGUUGAGAGAAAUAUUUUAAAAAAAGGUGACGCGAAUAAUUAUUACGUUGCUGAUGCUUCUGAGGAACAAGAGGACGAGGUGUUCGAAGAAUUUGUAAAGAUACCAGGUGUCUUAGAAAUGGAUGAUUACAGUGCUGAGCCUUUGGAAGAGGUAGAGGAUGGAGAACCUGAAGAAGAUGUGAAUGAUAUAGACAUUGAGCCAGAUGUGGAAGAAAUAGAAGAAGAAUCAACGAGUGUGGCAGUGAAGUUCGGAGUUGGUGUUGCACUUAUCGUUGCUGCACAUUUUGUUCUCGUUAGGCGAUGGAACAACGCUGAUACCGAGCUAAAUCAACUUUCGCAUAACGACGAAGUGAUUAAUUUAAAUAGGCGAAAUACAAUAAUAUCUCCAGCAUCAGUGAAGGAAGCACAAAAAUUGCAAACUGAGGAUGAAAAUCGAACGCUAACUACAAAGAAAAAACAGACUUACGAAACUUUACGAUCGCAAUAUGAAAAAUUAGAAACUGAAAAUAAUAGACCCCAAAAUGUUCUUAUAGAAAAAACUUUGAGCCCGUCAGAAGAAGCUUGGUCCACGCGUAAAACGCAAGGGGUUGAAAAGAUUAAUGAAAAGCAAUCGAAAAUAAUGUCAUCUGAAGAAGAAACGGAAGAUGUGGAAGAUGAAUUGGAGACAUCAGAUGGAGAACGUAUUUCCGGAACGGAAGAAUAUGAUGAAGAUGAAGAUGAAGGAGAAGAAGAUGAGGUAGAAGACGAAGAGGAUGCUGAGGAAGAAAUAGAAGACGUUGAUGAUUCAGAAUUAGUUGCUAGAUUAGAGGCUAGAUAUGGUAAAUUAGCAACUCCGCAAGAUAGCGAGCUCGAGGAUGAAUUAGAAUAUGAAGAGGAGGAAGAAGAAGUUGAAGAUGAAGAAGAAGAAGAAGAAGAAGAAGAGGAAGAAGAAAUAGAAGACGAGGAUGUAGCAGGAUGGAAACGUAUAAAAGCACCUAAAGAGACAACAGGAUCGUCUAAACCUGUUCCUUCAGCUACCGAUAAAUCUGGGAUUAGUUCUAAACAAGGAGUUUCUACAACAAAGGGUGGUAAAGGAAUAAAUGAUUUUCGAAAUAUAUCAACCAUGGACGAUUUAGUAAUAUACGAAGAAAAAGAAAUACCUUUGGAAAUUGAUGACUAAGUUUCACCCUCUAAUCCUUAGCAUUAUCCACUAUUUCCAUCAAUCAUUUCAUGUGUUUUAAUUUUGUCAACAUAAUAUACAACUUGGAUGUUUUUUCAUAUAUUUGUUUGUAAAUAUUUCUGCGUAAGCUCAUAUUAAUUGAUUUGCAAUUAUAUUAAUGCGUAAAAGCAGCAGCUUUGGGCUUAAUAUUAGCCAAUAAUUGUUGACAUUUUUUCAUCUUCUAAACGUGUUACUUGAAACACUAUCAUAAAGAAAAGAAAAAAGGAACUAUAGACACAAUAAUUAAUAUUUUAUUAUUCAAAAAUAUACCUGAGAAUCUAUAUGAUUAUAUGAUUUCUUAUAUUUACACGACAAUAUUAUAAAAAUCUUUCAUAGUGAUCUAUCCUAAUCACCCAUUCCAAUUUUCUUCCUAAUAUUAGAAGGUGAGAGAAGAAUAAUUACCAGAAAAGAAACGAUAAUACAAUGAUCUAACAGCAAGAUGAAAGCAGUAGGAAUAUAAUGAAAGUAAAAUGUGUAUUUUCAUGAGGAUCUUAAGAAGAAAUUUUAAUUGUGACAUUAUUAGGCAAAAAUUAACGGAUUAAAGCGUAAAGUAACUCAAUACUUAUGCUUAUGUCUGUGUUUACGCGGAGAAGGCGAAGGUGGACUAUUAGCCCUAUGUUUAGAGGAAGUACGAGGUGGUGGUGGAGGUGACAAAGAUGGAGAUCUACCACGUCUCUUUCGAUCAUUACGUUCACUGCCUGGUGAUCUUCUUGAUGUUCUAGAUGAAGAAAGAGAAGGUGAUGGUGUACGUCGAAUACGAGGAGGCGAUGGAGUCACUGGUACACGUUUUUUAUAUGGUGAUCGCGAUCUACGUUUAUUACGCGGUGAUCUACUGCGGGAUCUAAAACAAUAUAAUAAUAGAUCAUAUUGAGAUCUUAGGAAGACAUCCUUAUUAUUUACAAUUACCUCAUCAUAUAUAUAUUUUUUUUUUGUUCUUUUUUUUUGUGAAUGUUAACUUAGUUAAUGCUUGUAAAGUAUGAAUUAUAUCUUAAAGUAUGAGCUGUUACGAGAUUUGUAAUUAUUGUUGUUUAUUACUUCAAUAUUUUUCUAGUAUAUCAUUUUUUUUAUAUCAUUAACGCGAUAAAUGCAGUCGUUUUGAAGUCCAAUAAUAUUAUAAAUAAUUAAAAGAACAUGCACACAAUAUGUGUGUGUGUAUAUAUAUAUAUAUAUAAACAAUUAUACUUUAAAAUCUAGUAAAUGAAUAGUGAAUAUGAAAACAGAUGUAAAGAUUAAUGGAUAAUGUAAAUACAAUAAAAUAAUAUACAUAUA